ACUCCUACGGGAGGCAGCAGUGGGGAAUAUUGCACAAUGGGCGCAAGCCUGAUGCAGCCAUGCCGCGUGUAUGAAGAAGGCCUUCGGGUUGUAAAGUACUUUCAGCAGUGAGGAAGGCGGGUACGUUAAUAGCGUGCUCGUUUGACGUUAGCUGCAGAAGAAGCACCGGCUAACUCCGUGCCAGCAGCCGCGGUAAUACGGAGGGUGCGAGCGUUAAUCGGAAUUACUGGGCGUAAAGCGCAUGCAGGUGGUUUGUUAAGUCAGAUGUGAAAGCCCGGGGCUCAACCUCGGAAUUGCAUUUGAAACUGGCAGACUAGAGUACUGUAGAGGGGGGUAGAAUUUCAGGUGUAGCGGUGAAAUGCGUAGAGAUCUGAAGGAAUACCGGUGGCGAAGGCGGCCCCCUGGACAGAUACUGACACUCAGAUGCGAAAAGCGUGGGGAGCAAACAGGAUUAGAUACCCUGGUAGGAUAGCG
rnacentral:rRNA from 1 species